rnacentral:rRNA from 1 species
AUGGUAUCCCUGGUGGCCACCGACGCGUCCGGCCCGACGCCGGUGGUUGAGAGGACGGACAUGAGGCACCCGCCAGCGUGCCCCGUGCACGAGGGGUACAAGUGCUACCCGGUGCCAUGCCCUGGCGGCGAGCUCUUCUUGGUGCGUUGCUGCCUCUUUGGCCUCCCGGCGGAGGUGGUGGACGUGAAGGUUUUCCGAUGGAACGAUGAGGACAAUGCGUGGGAGACGGUUGUAACCAUCAGGGAGAGAACGUUCUUCGCCGGCAGGUUUACUUUCGCGGUCCCGUCGGCGGCUGAAGCAGGAACCCGAGUCAACACCAUCCAUGUGCUGCGCUCAGUUUAUGGUGAAUCUCAUAUCUACACUGUGUCUCUCGACGACAUGACCUUAAGGAUGAGUGCAGUCGAGGGAUGCGAUGAUGAUGAUGAUGGCGACCAGGCAUUUUGGGCUCUUCCCACUAGCUUCGGUCUGGUAGCAGCACGAUCCAGCGACACUCCUGGUGGUCUCUCCAAUGAGGUGAUGCAAACAAGAAGUGAACAUUGCUGCAAAGAGGAAGAAAAAGAGGACAUGAUGACGAACUCUGCAGGCGAGAGGCGAUGGUGUGAUUUCCACACUGAUUUGUUGCAGCUACUAGUACCUAAGAUUUCAUUCAUCGAUUUCCUACACCUGAAAGCUGUCUGCAAGCAGUGGAAUUCCAUUACAAGUCCUAUCCAGAAUGCAAAAGUGUCGCCAUUGCUCAUGACAACCCGCCCAGCAGGAGGAGCCAAGGAGGAUGUCCUAGAGGUCUUUGACCCGGUGAGCGAGAAGAAAUACAACAUCAGGGUAAACGUCCCUGCUUCAGGUCUCAAAUCGCAGGGAUCGCAGUUACUACAUUUCACAAAGAACGGCGGGAUCAUCGUGUCCAGAGGCGGCGACCACAUGUUCUUCCUAGUGAACCCAUUCAAGGAUUACCCAAAUGGGGGCCAUGUGAUUGCUCUUCCAGCUCUGGAUCUCCUUGGCCACAAAGGAUUGUCGUUUUCCUCGGUGCCGGGGUCUCCGGACUUCGUGGUCCUCGCCACUAGUUGUACCCCUGAUGACAAAGUUAUCACCAUACAAACAUGGCGAAUGGGAGAUGAAGAGUGGAAGGAAGAAAUCCUAGGCAAUUAUGACGUGCCGUUCUUCAUGUCAUCUCAAAGCCCCGUCUUCCAAGACGGGGUUUUCUAUUUCCUGGACAUCAAUGACAGGCUUGGAGUCGUGGACCCAAAUGAGGACGAGAUGGAGUGGAGGGUCCUUGACAAGCCAGAUCAACCGAUACGUGGAAGCACCGAGGUGCAUCUUGCUGAAUGGGAACACAACUAUUUGGUGGAGUGGAAGGCGGAGCUAGUCGCCAUUUUCAGGGAUAGUGCCGAUGGGUCAGUUAGAAUGUUCAAGCUAGACCGGUCUCAGAUGGUUUGGUCGGAGUUGGAAGUGAUGGAGGACGCGGCCGUGUUCUGGGAUAGGAGAAAUGCUCUGAUUGCUGUGCUGCCCACCGGAGAAGAUUUAUGUAACAAGAUGUCCCUACCGAACUAUAGCGAGACAGACCGUGGCGGCAGGACUCGGAGCUUCUACUCAUUUCGGGAGCAAUGCUACUACCCUUCUUUCAACGCCAAGGAGCCCAUGAACGCCGUAUGGUUUCAGCCAGACUUGAACGCACUUAUGGCGACGACUCACCAGUAG